rnacentral:rRNA from 1 species
UACGUAGGGUGCGAGCGUUAAUCGGAAUUACUGGGCGUAAAGCGUGCGCAGGCGGCCAACUAAGUCGGACGUGAAAUCCCUCAGCUUAACUGGGGAACUGCGUCCGAUACUGGAUGGCUUGAUUUGGGAGAGGGAUGCGGAAUUCCAGGUGUAGCGGUGAAAUGCGUAGAUAUCUGGAGGAACACCGGUGGCGAAGGCGGCAUCCUGGACCA